GCCAGCCCGCUCAAGAACUCAAAUGAAUUGACGGGGGCCCCGGCACAAGCGGUGGAGCAUGUGGUUUAAUUCGAUGAUACGCGAGGAACCUUACCUGGGCUCAAAUGUAUGUUGACGCAUUCUGAAAGGGAUACUUCUUCGGACAAUAUACAAGGUGCUGCAUGGUUGUCGUCAGCUCGUGCCGUGAGGUGUCGGGUUAAGUCCCAUAACGAGCGCAACCCCUAUCAUUAGUUGCCAUCAGGUCAAGCUGGGGACUCUAAUGAAACUGCCUACGCAAGUAGUGAGGAAGGUGGGGAUGACGUCAAAUCAGCACGGCCCUUACGUCCAGGGCUACACACGUGCUACAAUGGUCGGUACAAAGGGUUGCCAAGCCGCGAGGUGGAGCUAAUCCCAUAAAACCGAUCGUAGUCCGGAUCGCAGUCUGCAACUCGACUGCGUGAAGUCGGAAUCGCUAGUAAUCGUGAAUCAGAAUGUCACGGUGAAUACGUUCCCGGGCCUU
rnacentral:rRNA from 1 species